CAGUCGCCGCGGUAAUACGAAGGGUGCAAGCGUUACUCGGAAUUACUGGGCGUAAAGCGUGUGUAGGUGGUUGUUUAAGUCUGUUGUGAAAGCCCUGGGCUCAACCUGGGAAUUGCGAUGGAUACUGGGCGACUAGAGUGCGGUAGAGGAUAGUGGAAUUUCCGGUGUAGCAGUGAAAUGCGUAGAGAUCGGAAGGAACAUCUGUGGCGAAGGCGACUAUCUGGGCCAACACUGACACCGAGACACGAAAGCGUGGGGAGCAAACAGGAUUAGAUACCCCUGUAGUCCCUGUCUCUUAUAC
rnacentral:rRNA from 1 species